rnacentral:tRNA from 1 species
GCCCUCGUAGCGCAAUCGGAAGAGGCAAUAGGUUUAAGCCCUAUAAAGUGUGAGUUCGACUCUCACCGAGGGUA